rfam:Medicago truncatula strain A17 chromosome 2, whole genome shotgun sequence.
AUGGCGGUCCGAAACUCAUACUUUUCACUUUCGAACGGGUGAGUGUACUAUCACUUUGGAAGACGUCUAUAUGUUACUCGGCUUACCUUUUGGAGGUUCAAUUGUUACGGCUCCUCCAA